GGGGGAUACCACGGGAUGGAGGGUGGGCCAAACCUGGGAGGACUGAGAAGUGAGUAUAAUUGGGGUGCACUACAUGAACUCCCAGUCAAUGAAAAUACUAUGUUGGAAAAAAUAUUAUACAUGGGGGGAGUUUUCUGUUCUUCUUGUCUCAGACAAGAAAUCCAAGCCCAGUUCAGUGCAUGAUAAAGAAAGGUGUUGCCAGCUUUUGUCUUUGGAGCACACAGUACUUUUGCUGCUGGGGAAUGGGGAUGGUGAGCAGCCAGCAGGUAAGCCUUACCCUCAGCUUUUGCUUAUGUGAGAAAUAAGCUUUAACUGUACAGAGCCAUUAAGAAUUCAGAUUUUGGUAAUACCGCCAUAAGCUACGUUGUGUAAACAAGCGUUAUCUGCUUUUCAUGACUGAUGCCGGAGGAGAUUACGAGAGGCAGGCAGGAUCCUGCAAACUGCCUUCAUGCUCUGUGAGUUUUGUGAGUAGUGCAUAAAAUGGCCAAAGGCAUUUAUAGAUUUUGGGAGUCUUGAAAUAUGAGGAACUUCUGGUGUCAAUUCUUUUCAGCUUCAAGAUCAUUCUUUGCCCAGGCUAGCCUCGAACUUUCUCUUUUAAGAUUUACUUAUUUUACUUUAUCUAUAUGAAAGUAUACGUAUUCUGUACACAUUCUGAGGCAGCUCUCAAAACAAGACUUUGGGGAGAACAUACUUCCGCCUUAGCUAAUGCCAAUCUGUUUUCUUCUCAAAUCACCUUUUACAAUCCCGAGCUAUAUGAACUAUGACAUAAACACAGUAGAGGUGCGCCAAACAUACGCAUCACUGAGUGAACAGACAUGCCAAACUCUCACUGAGUCAUGAGAACAUUGCCAACCUUGGAGUGAGUGACGCCCUCAGGGUUCUCUGAGCUCUGUUCAGCUCUGUCUUAGGAUGCUCCAUUAGGAGCAACUGAAACAGUGAGUCCCUGCUGGGGACACUGAGGCACAGUAUUCUCAGAAGAACGAGGGAAAGGUCAGAAAGCAAGGGAACAGCUGAAGAACACAGCCACCGAUGAGCAUUUUUUGACUAAAUGCCAGGCACCGUGAAUCUCAUCUUGUUGGUGCAUGUGCCACAUAUCUGGCUUAGUUGGACUAUCAAGGAGAGCCUCCACUCCAAACUACAGAGCAGACAAGAAACAGGUGGGAGAAGACGGCAUCCUGGGUGCUGGACAAUGCCAGGAAAUGCCAGAGACCAUGUGCAGCAACACCAGCAAGCCUUGAGGGUGAAGGCAAGUUACACAACAGGAUCCACCAUAUCAUCUUAACUGAAAGACCACAAUAUGCCAGCUCCCUUCCAGCCACACGGAAAACCAAAGUCUCACAGGCUACAUGUGAUUCCACAAAAGGAAUAUAAAAGAAGGGGUUACUGGGCUCUAUUUUUUCCCUACUGGUUUUGAGUCUCAUCAUGAUGUCCAAGCUGGCCCUGAACAUCUCGUCUUCCUGUCUUGGCCUCCCACACUUUGGCAGUUCUGGGUGAGCAUCGUCCCAGCCUAUGUUUCCUCCCACUCUGACCUAACCACAGGCCCAGCAGGCCUUCCAAGGAAGAACUAAAAUUACAGCAAAGCAGAGCUGACAAAACCCAAAUGUUUAAGACUAUCAAACUGUCCAAGGCCUUCCUAUAAACAAUAGGUUUCUUCUCCAAGAGAAAAAUCUUGUUAAAAAAUGUGGAUUUAUACACAUAAAACUGUAAUGGUUUCACUCCCAAA